GACAGACCCUGAGAGCCUACUGACCACAGCAGCUCCUGUUACCACGGCUGCCGUUUCUGCUCUCAAUGCUACUGCUCAUUGAUCCCAGGGAGGAAAAUUCUGGUGCAUCACUUAGUAUUUAUUUCAGAUUUCAACCAAAACAACAUAUUGCAAGAUUGAAUGCAGAAGUAGAUGUGAGAACUCAUUCUAUUAAGCCAAGCGUAAAUGUUUAAAAAUGUAAAAUAAUACCACUCUUCUGAUAUGUUUUGGGAGAAAAUAUGUUUGUGGAAAAUAUACCUAUCAAAGAAAUAUCAGAAACCUUCCAAACUGAAGGACAUGUGUAUCCAGAUUAAAAUGACCUUCCAAAUGCUUAACAUAGUAAACAAAAAACAGGAGGAAAAGGAGGGGAGAAAAGAAAAAAAGAAGACUCACACAAGGCCGUGUUACGACAUUUCAUCAUACCAUAGAUAAAUCAGAUCCUGAAAGAUUUCAGAAAGGAAUAUGAGAUCACACAUAAAGGAACAGGAAUCAAAAUGACAUUACCCUUCUCAACAACACUGGAAGCUCCAAGAGAGUGCAGCAAUGCUUUCAUCCUCAGAGAAAAUAAUUAUCAAUACAAAAUAAUAUUCCCAGCUAAGCUAUCAAUCAUGAGGGUAGAAGAAAGGCAUUUUUAGCCAUUGCGUGGGAGUGCUAUAAUAAUGGUCCCAGUGAACCACACCUCCCUGUAUCCGCACCACUUUGCAAUGAGAAAUUUGCUGUUUCUCCUAGUGAGAGAGGGAGUCUAUUUCUUUACCCUUGGGCCUGGGCUGGCCUGGUGACUUGUUUUGACCAAUACAUGGAAGAAGUGACAUUAUGUGAGUUCUGCAGCUGAAGCUUUAAGAGGCCUUGAAGUUUCUCCUCACCUUCUUGGAACCUUGAGACCACCAUGCUGUGAGAAGCCUGGGCAUAUCUACUGGAGGCCGAGGGGCCACAUGACACGUCUAAAACUCAUACGUCAAGAUAUGGUAAUAUAAUGUGAAAUUCCUAGAGCAGCUUAAUAUUAAUAAUUUCCUUUGUGUCUCUGAGGUUUUGUUGCUUAAGAAGGACUUCUCAAAGAUUUAACCUUAUUUUUUACUUAAAGAGCAAAAAAAAAAACAAAAAACAAAAAACAAAACACGAUCACAAUAUAAGCCAGUAUAAGCAACUGGUUCGUGCAGGAUGGUGGUAGUUAUCAAAGAGAGCGGGGGGUCUAAAGCUCUAAGGAGUCGUCUGGAGAAAGCCAGGCAGAGACUUGCUGCUUUUCUAUUCUACUUCUUUCCCUUCUCAUCCAGCUUGAAAGCUGCACCCAUCAAGUGCGUCCUGAAUCUGACGAUUCACUAUCUUCACUUCCGCCAGUCUGCUCCAGGCCUCCAUCCUUUCUGGCCUAAAUGAACCCCAAAGCUGGCUUGUGUCCUGCAUCCAUCCACCACUCUUGCCCUUGUUUCACUUAUCUAUUGCUGUGAAAUAAACUUCAAAACCAAGUGAUUCAGUCUCACAACUCUGGUUUUCCUGGGCUGAGUGGGGUGGUUCCUCUAUUCAUGUGAUGUGGCUGGAGCUGUGGGCAUUUGUGGGCUUGAAUGGGCUGAGUGUUCACCGUGGUUCAUUCACAUGGUGGCAGCUGGCUAGGUUCUCAGCUAGGACGAUGGCCUCUCCAUGUAGCUUGGGCUCAGAGCUAGUGUUCUGAGAAGGAAGUAGAAGCUGGCAGUCCUAUUGAGGCCUGGGCUUGAAGUCCCAGAACAUCCUUUCCCACUGCCUUGUAAUGAUCAAAGUAGUCACAAGGCCAGCCUAGAUUCAAGGGCUUGGAGGAAUACUACCUUUCAGUCAAUUUCCCAGUUUCCAGAGGAUUUUAAAAAAACAAACGGCUCGACACAGUGGCAUGUGCUACUCGGGAGGCUAAGGUGGGAGGAUCGCUUGAGCCUGGGAGGUUGAGGUUGCCGUGAGCUGUGAUUACACCACUGCACUCCAACCUGGGUGACAGAUCAGACCUUGUCUCAAAACACUCUCCCCAAAACAAAUAGACAUAAUUCUCCUGCUGGAAUCCACUGCUCACUAGACUUACAUUGUAAUAGCCUGCCUCACCUGGCCCCUGCCUAACUCUGUCCCUCACACCUUUGCUCUGUCUCUAAAGGUCAUACUGCUGUUUCCCCAGCACCCCAAACUCACCACCCUUCAGGGACUUAGCCUAGAACAAUUUUCCUCCAGGACUUCACUUGGCCACUUCACUCCAUUGCUUCCAGACGGCUGGCAUUAUUUGCCCAUCUGUUUUGGGUCUCCUUCACUGGCAUGAAUGUAAGGUCCUUGCCAGCAGCACUUUUCUGUCCUAUCCUACAUUCACUCUUAGCAUCUAGAAUGGUGUUAUCACAGGAAAGGCAUAAAAGUAUACUCUGUGGUUAACUGAAUUUACUUGCCUAAAUCUUGGGCAUGUGAUGCUUUGAGAAAUAUACAAAUUAAUGUUAAACAGAACCACAGUGGUCAGUAACAGGCACAUCCAAGGAUACACUAGUCCUGCAUACAUACCCACUGGCAUGUUUCUACCUUCCUAAUAAGAGCUGACAGCCGUUUUGCUGCAUGCUGUACAGGACAGCUGCUGCUGCAAACUCAGCCUCUGAUGGGCCCAUAGUCGAUGUGCCCACUGCAUGCCUUGAACUCAGGGAAUUCAGACGAAAUCAUCACACACUCCAGCCAGAAGCUAGAGGGCUGCCGGCCUUGACAUUUUAAUGCAUUUUUGGUGUCAGCUGCCCUUCACUGAUUCACUCAAUUCUAGAGGUCUGAAUGAGAAUCCCUACACGCUUCUCAGGGGUUCUGAAGAAGCCAGUGUAGCCCAAGGUCAUCAACCCAAGUGAACCCACAUUUAUCCAGGAAGCAAGAGGUGUGGCAAGGGCAGAAUUCUAACAGACAUCCAUUCCACAUGUGUCAGAGACAAAACUAAGUCCAAGAUAAAAUCGACAAAGGCUAUUUAUUCAUAAACGUGCAGCAGGGGAACCCUUCUGCUGAAACCUUUGUUUUGGUAAGUGUUCAGAGGUGUUAAGACGUUAUAGAGUAAAAAGGAGAAAUACUGACAGUGUUGACUUGGCAAAUGUCAUAUAAGGGUAGGAUUUGUGGAAGCAAGCCAAGAGACAAAGUGGUCUUCAAGUACAUUUGACUUGAUUAGCUUCAAGGAGGCAGGUGAGCAGUCUGGGACCAUUUCAAAAGAGGAAAGGGGCGGAGAGUUUUCUGUGGCCAGCCAUUUCCUGGAAAAAGUGAUGGUUGAUGGGAUGCUUUUUUGCAGUCUAUCAUCAUGGUUCUUAGGGGUGUAAAAAGUAAAGUGAGGUUCCUCUUCAAAGACUUUCCUCCCUGUCUAAUUAAGAAUAAAUAGUAACUUCUCUUAGGAGCAAAACUUAUUCAAAGACCUGUGCUAACAUUCUUAAAUAUCUGCUAGCCGUAAUAAAGAAAUCAAUGUACUUUAUGUUCUUAGCUCCCACAAUUUAGCCUAUUUGCCCUGGCAAUGCUUAUACUGGUCCAAGCAAGCAUUAGGUCAUAGCCUGUUCCUCUUCCUUAUCUGAAGGUGUUUUUACGUUUCUCAGCAUUCCACAAGUUACUUCCUCCUUCAUUCUCCUCUGCCUUUGCCUCUUUUAAAAAGUUCUAAGUUGCUAGCCAAUCAGGACAAAUACAGAAUGUGAGGUCCCGUUCCAGCCAAUGGAAACUGGACACAGCAGUAAAGUGGACUUGUCAAGUUAUAAAUGACCCUGUCUCCUUUGUUCGGUGUUCUCUCGUGGCAAAACUGCUGGCGAGUGUACCCUUUCUGCAGAAAGUAUAAAAAUGACCUUGCUGAAGAAAUUAAUGUUCAAGUGCUAUUUCUUUGCGGCACUGAAGAACAAGCAUUUCAAACAGAGGGUAGGGUGGGGUGGUGGUGGUGGUGUUAUGUGGUUGCCACAGCUAAGUUAAGUUUUUCACAUGGAUCAUUAACUUUCAAAUAAUUAAAAUUUUAGAGAUGCAAGGUAUCUUAAAGUUCAUCUGGUCACUCUGACCACCCACAUUCCCACUCUCAUCCCAAGUUCAUUUAAUGGAUGGAAAAACUCAAACAAAAGGUAGUUUGGCAUCUAACCCUUAGCAAAGGUUAGAUGUGGAAUUAGAAGUUUUCCUGAAUCCUAGGACUGUAGUAUAACCAUCAUGCAUUUCAAAAGUAAAACAAAAAAGGAAAUUUAAAAAAAGAAAAUACAGUAAGUAGCCACAUAAACCGCUUCUAGCUGGGUCCACUGGUCCCCCUGCUUCUUGUUUAUUAACGGAAUCUGUUCAGGGGCUCUAGGGCUCAGAGCUUUAGGGGAGUCUGAGCCCUUCUCCAGCCCUGGGGUGAUGGGUCUUGAUUGAUCCAGGUCAAAUUCUCCACAGAUUUAAUUCUGGCCAAUGAAUAUGAGAAGAAAUGAGAAGGUGGAAAGGUGUCUUAGUCUACUUUUUGCUGCUAUAAUAAAAAUACCAAUACAUGGGGUAAAUUAUAAUGAAGAGAAAUUUAUCUCAUGGAGUUCUGGAGGCUGGGGAGUCCCAAAAUCAAGGUGUUGGCAUCUGGUGAGGAGCUUCUUGCUGUCCACCCCAUGGUGGAGGGUGGAAGGGCAGAAAGAGAGAGAGGGCUGGAGGCCAAUAGGUGGCUGAACUCAUUUUUUUAUGAGGAACCCACUCCCAUAAUAACAGCAUUAAUCCACUCAUGAGAGCAGAGCCCCCAUGACCCAACCAUUUCCCAUUAGGUCCUACCUCCCCACACCCACUGCACUGGGGAUCAAGUUUCCAACACAUGGAACUUUGGGAGACACAUUCACGACAUAGCAGAGGACCACUGGAGAAAGGAAGGUUUUUAAAGAUUUUUUUUAGGACACUAUGGAAGUGAUAGCCAUUGGACAUGGAUGGUGUUUUUGUUUUUGGCAUGGGAAAAGGCUUAUACAACUCUGGUCAACUUGGCAACACUAAUCAAAAGUCAAAAUCUCCUUUGACCCUAGGGAUCCCCUACUAUUAACAGUAUUAUAUCUUAUAGAACCUAGGUAUUUAGGAAAGAAAAAAAUGUUCAAAGAUGUAUUGACAUUUAAUAAAAGCAAAUAACUGGACAUAACCCAGCUAUCCAAAUACAGGCUAUCAGGAAACACUGUGAAGGACUUUGAAAUAGGUCUUGCCCACUGCCCCCACCCCUGCCUCCAAUUACUGAGUGUUCUGUCUAAUCUAGCCCACCUUUCUGAGUUGAUUCCCUUUCAUUUCACUGCCUUUGAGCUACUUUACAAUUACGUAAAUUAAGGGAAACUGAUAAUGCAGAUGAUUCUUGUUCAUAGAAAUGCAAAUUGUGACCAAUGGAAUAUAACUGAUUAUUGUUCUGCAGGUAUCAGCCAAUUUUGCCAGUUUUGUAACUACGAAGCAAACUCAUUUCAGCAUUCCUGCUAGGCUUAUAAUUAUUUGUUCUUUGGAUUCUCCUUUGAGCCAAUUAAAGUGUCCUACUGGUUCUCUCAAUAAUUAACAAGUUAAAUACAAUCAUCUUUAACAUGUUACUUUUAUAUUUGUAUGAGUCAUAAUUUUAACUUCUAAAAAAAUUAUCCUUUAACAAGGUAGUUAAGUAAAUUUAAUGUUCAUGUGGUAUAAUUUACUUAGCAGCCCUCUUAAAACAGUUAUAAAAACCAUAUGGCAACAGGGACAAAUACUCCUGAUAAAAAUGGCAAGUGGGGAAAAAAGCAGAAAUGCAAAAUUUGUACUACGUUGUGAUUAAAGCUAAACGUUGUAAGUGCUUAGGGCAAGAAAUAGGAAGGAGAAAAAAAAUUGAAGUUGGAUUUGUUUGUUAGGGUGGUAGGAUCCUGGAUUAAAAAAAAAAAACAAAACCCUGACAUUAUUCUGUUAUACAUUAAAAAUAAUAUUGGCGGGCAUGGUGGCUCACGCCUGUAAUCCCAGCACUUUGGGAGGCCAAGGCAGGCGGAUCACGAGGUCAGGAGAUCGAGACCAUCCUGCUAACACGGUGAAACCUCAUCUCUACUUAAAAUACAAAAAAUUAGCCAGGCGUGGUGGCACGUGCCUGUAGUCCCAGCUACCAGGGAGGCUGAGGCAGGAGAAUCACUUGAACCUGGGAGGCGGAGGUUGCAGUAAGCCGAGAUCACGCUACCGCACUCCAGCCUGGGAUACAGAGUGAGACUCCAUCUCGGGAAAAAAAAAAAAAGUUGGCCCUGUAUUAGUUUCCUAUUGUUGCUGUUAACAAAUGGUUUAAAGCAACACUAACUUAUCACCUUAGUAAUAAAUUCUGCAGUUCUGGAGGUCAGAAGUCCAAAGUGGGCAUCACAGGGCUAAAAUUAAGGUAUGGGUGGGGCUGUGUUCCUUUCAGGAGUCCUAGGGGAAAAUCCGUUUCCUUGCCCUUUCCAGCGUCUAGAGGCUGCCAGCAUUCCUUGGCUUGUUGCUCUCCUUCCUCCAUCUUCAAAGCCAAUAGCUUAGCAUCCUCAAAAGUCUGUCCACCCUCACGUCGCCUUCACUGAUGCUUAUAUGGAUCCAUGUGCUUACACUGCAUCCGCCCAGGUAAAUACAGAUAAUCCUCCUAUCUCAGGGUCCUUACCUAACCACAUCUGCAGAGUCCCUUUUGCCAUGUAAGGUGACACAUUCACAGGUCCUGGGGAUUAGGAUGUGGACAUCUCUGAGGACUCCCAUCCCCAAUCCAGAGGAUUUCCCUGAAAUGCCAAGUUCAGUGAGAACAGCUUCCCAUAUGCCUGAGUGAAGGCACAAUACUGACUGUGCGAAAGGACAUAGUGUGGGACUCCAUUUAAAUUAAAUGUCAGAACAGGCAACACUAGCCUAUGGUGGAAAAGAAUUACAAUUACCACCUCCAAGGGCGGGGUGGGGUUGACUGGGGAAGGCCAUAUUGGAAUUUUCUGGUAUGGUGAUGUUCUUUAUCCUGGCAGGGGCACAAAAGUGUAAACAAACACUACUCUCUAGUCUAGUCAAUGACACGUACUGGGGGAAUUGUAGUGAUGUCUGCCAUUUACUCUGAAGAGACAUAAUGGAUAGUUUGAUGGACAGAUGGAUAGACAGGUGAUAUAUAGAUACAGUAACAUGUUUAUGAUAGAAUCUAGGUGGUGGGUAUACAGGUGUUCAUUUUAAUCAUCUUUGUGUUGUUUGAGAAUUUUUAUAAAAAUGUUGGGGAUGGUAAGAUGUGACCCUGGAAUAUGACUCUGGCACUCUAAAAACCAUAAAUUAACAAAAAGAACUUAGAAAGCCAUUAAGCAAGCUGUUGAAUAAUUUCCUUUUUAAAAUCAAUGGUUCUCAACCUGGGCAAUUUUGGAAGGUGUCUAGAAAGGUGUGGGAGCAUUCUUGACGGUCUCUAGAACUCUCAGUAAGGGCAAAGUGUUCCUGGCACCCAGGGCAGGGUCCAGAGAAGCUACUGCAACCACGCAGCCUCUCCACAGGACUGUCUUUCUACAUUAAAUGUUACUGAGGAAUACCAAUUUAAAAUCAGAGUCUUCUCUUCGUAUCUCAUUAAUUUGCUUGCAGUUGCUUGUAGCACAUCUCCAAGUGGACUGUGACUCACUUCUCAAAAAUGUGUUGUAUCUCCCACUUUUCUGUAACCCAAGAACCCCGAGCAUAGUGCUCUACCCAGAACACAUAUUUAAUAAACAUUUGGUAACAGGGGAGGGGAUGUUCCCUGACUAUCCCAGCUUGCCCUUUCAGGCAGCUCCUUUGAUGCAAACCUACCCCACAUUCCCCCUCCUCUGACCCCCAACCCGUUAAUAGCCAGUGAGGAAGGAUGUUCACUGCUGCAUUCUUCUGCCAAGACACAAUCUUGAAACUGCAUCCCCACUGCCACCCUCCUUCACCCUGCCCAACCCCAUCCCCCUGCACCAAAUGGCAGGGGAGGCACCUGAAAAUAACCACCAUGACACAGAGCUGAGAAAAGCCGGCAUAAAGCACUUUUAUUGCAAUAAUAAAACUUGAGACUCAUAAAUGGUGCUGGGGGAAGG
rnacentral:lncRNA from 1 species